rnacentral:rRNA from 1 species
GACGAACGCUGGCGGCGUGCUUAACACAUGCAAGUCGAACGGAAAGGCCCUGCUUUUGUGGGGUGCUCGAGUGGCGAACGGGUGAGUAACACGUGAGUAACCUGCCCUUGACUUUGGGAUAACUUCAGGAAACUGGGGCUAAUACCGGAUAGGAGCUCCUGCUGCAUGGUGGGGGUUGGAAAGUUUCGGCGGUUGGGGAUGGACUCGCGGCUUAUCAGCUUGUUGGUGGGGGAGUGGCUUACCAAGGCUUUGACGGGUAGCCGGCCUGAGAGGGUGACCGGCCACAUUGGGACUGAGAUACGGCCCAGACUCCUACGGUAGACAGCAGUGGGGAAUAUUGCACAAUGGGCGGAAGCCUGAUGCAGCAACGCCGCGUGCGGGAAGACGGCCUGCGGGUUGUAAACCGCUUUCGCCUGUGACGAAGCGUGAGUGACGGUAAUGGAUAAAGAAGCACCGGCUAACUACGUG